rnacentral:lncRNA from 1 species
CCUUACCUACUGACAGAGUGAGAAGAAAAUGAGACCUCCUUUGACCAGCUAUUCUCUGCAGAAACAGCCCAAAUACCUCUAUGAAGUGCUGCUAUUGAGCACAGCAUGAGAGCAUAGUUGUACUUCUGGAUGCAUUGGCUAAAACUUUCCCAAGAUGAAGGCGGGUAGAUUUCUUGUCUUUUUUUCCCCCCUGUCAAGUCAGAUAGCAUUUCGAGAGUGACUGUGAUGAUAAAAUGUGAAUGACAGGAAGAUAAUUAACUACCGUAAGUGAAAAAGAACAUGAAGAGGGCAUAAAUAAGUGCUGGAGUUACUCACCUGCAUUAAUCACCUGGAAAAUCAGGUUUAUUCACACAAAUUCCCACACUGGGUCUAGCAAGCUGUCAGAACAGCGAGAACACCCACACCACACCUGUCACAGCCAGAAAUGAAUUCAAAUCGCUCAUUCUGUGAGAAAAUCGAGGCUACCCACCCAGGCCGUGGGGCUGGGACACCUCGCACACCCCAAGCUUCGCCCCAGGCCCCGCCCCAGCGCCCAGGCCUCGCCGCCGCCACGCUCCCUCACGAGGCGUCGAGCCCGGCCCGCGGUCCAGGCAGCUCUCGGCCCUCCCUCGCGGCAGUCCCCGGGGGGAUGGGUGUCCAGGUGCUCUCACCGACCCCUCGGUCCCAGCCGGGCUCGCCGCCGCCCUUACCCUACCGUGCCCCACGCGCGGGUCGCGGCUGCCGCGCUCCUCUCACACCGCCUCUGGGAGAAACCACCUUUUCCCCGCUCUUCAGCGCAAUGGUCCUGCCCGCCUGCCCGAAAGCAACAUGGCCGCCCUCGGCUUCGUCCCUGUAGCCGCUCAGCCUUUCCGCCAUCUUGAGUGAGGGACGCGGCAUGUCAGGAGCGGGCGGCCAUCUUGGGCGUUGGGGUUUGCCCGCUCCUGCGUGCUUUCGAGGCUCAUUUUUGGAUCUGUGAGGGAAAGGGCUGCUGGGACGGGAGAUGAAAGCCUCGAAGAAGGCUUCGGCCAGCAGCUGAAUAACAGAAACAAAACCAAGCCAGGCUUUCUGGGUGAAGAACCCGUACUGCAGGCUCACCUGCCCGCUGAGGAGAGGCACAGUGGCCCUCCCACAUGCCCGCAGCCUCCAGUGUUGCCUUGCUUGACUCCAAACUCACCUGGUGCCUGCAGAUUGACUCUGGCAUCGCAGUUCCUGCUCUGCACCAAUGUGGAUCCCCAGAAGCUGUGCUACUGACCUUAAUUCAGGUGGGAAGGCAGGCCCAGAAGAGCGGUCUCAGCCUGGGAAUGGUCUAUCAAUCCAAAUUCUUUGGCAGUAGCAGAGAAUUUAGGUUUGCAUCUGGUUUCUCUGGAGGGCCAGAACUGAUGUCUGAACCCAAGGAUCUUCAAGGAGCUGAACUUUUUGC